rfam:Picea glauca, whole genome shotgun sequence.
AGGUGCGAUCAUACCAGUGUUAAUGCAUCGGAUCCCAUCGAAACUCUGUAGUUAAGUGUGCUUGGGCUAGAGUAGUACAAGGAUGGGUUACCUCCAAGGAAGUCCUAGUGUUGCACCCU